UGACUCUAGAUUUCCAAUCAGUUGAC
rnacentral:piRNA from 1 species